rnacentral:rRNA from 1 species
CCAGACUCCUACGGGAGGCAGCAGUGGGGGAUAUUGCACAAUGGGGGGAACCCGGAUGCAGCAACGCAGCGUGGGUGAAGGAGUAUUUCGGUAUGUAAAGCCCUAUAGGCAGGGAAGAAGCAAGACGGUAACUGACUAAGAAGCCCCGGCUAACUACGUGCCAGCAGCCGCGGUAAUAAGUAGGGGGCGAGCGUUAUCCGGAUUUACUGGGUGUAAAGGGCGUGCAGCCGGGCUGACAAGUCAGAUGUGAAAUCCCGCGGCUCAACCGCGGAACUGCAUUUGAAACUGUCAGUCUUGAGUACCGGAGAGGUCAUCGGAAUUCCUUGUGUAGCGGUGAAAUGCGUAGAUAUAAGGAAGAACACCAGUGGCGAAGGCGGAUGACUGGACGUCAACUGCCGGUGAGGCGCGAAAGCGUGGGGAGCAAACAGGAUUAGAUGCCCCAGUACA